rnacentral:rRNA from 1 species
CCUACGGGUGGCAGCAGUGGGGAAUAUUGCACAAUGGGGGAAACUCUGAUGCAGCGACGCCGCGUGAGUGAAGAAGUAUUUCGGUAUGUAAAGCUCUAUCAGUAGGGAAGUAAAUGACGGUACCUGAUUAAGAAGCUCCGGCUAACUACGUGCCAGCAGCCGCGGUAAUACGUAGGGGGCAAGCGUAAUCCGGAUUUACUGGGCGUAAAGGGAGCGUAGACGGCAGCGCAGGUCUGAAGUGAAAUGUCGGGGCUUAACCCCGGAACUGCUUUGGAAACUGUGCAGCUAGAGUGCAGGAGAGGUAAGUGGAAUUCCUAGGGUAGCGGUGAAAUGCGUAGAUAUUAGGAGGAACACCAGUGGCGAAGGCGGCUUACUGGACUGUAACUGACGUUGAGGCUCGAAAGCGUGGGGAGCAAACAGGAUUAGAUACCCGGGUAGUC